GCAAUCGACCAUAGGAUUUUGUGGAAAACAGGACUUCCCGUUCGCUCAGUCAUACUUAAGCCACAUGCCGACGAGUUAGUAGCAAAGAUGGUGACAAUUUGCGAAUCCUCGUUGUUGAUUGUU
rnacentral:rRNA from 1 species